rnacentral:rRNA from 1 species
UACGGGGGGGGCAAGCGUUGUUCGGAAUUACUGGGCGUAAAGGGCUCGUAGGUGGCCAACUAAGUCAGACGUGAAAUCCCCAGGCUCAACCUGGGAACUGCGUCUGAUACUGGAUGGCUUGAAUUCGGGAGAGGGAUGCAGAAUUCCAGGUGUAGCGGUGAAAUGCGUAGAUAUCUGGAGGAAUACCGGUGGCGAAGGCGGGUCUCUGGGCCGAUACUGACGCUGAGGAGCGAAAGCGUGGGGAGCGAACAGG